rnacentral:rRNA from 1 species
AGUGAACGCUGGCGGUAGGCCUAACACAUGCAAGUCGAACGGCAGCACAGUAAGAGCUUGCUCUUACGGGUGGCGAGUGGCGGACGGGUGAGGAAUACAUCGGAAUCUACUUUUUCGUGGGGGAUAACGUAGGGAAACUUACGCUAAUACCGCAUACGACCUACGGGUGAAAGCAGGGGAUCUUCGGACCUUGCGCGAUUGAAUGAGCCGAGGUCGGAUUAGCUAGUUGGCGGGGUAAAGGCCCACCAAGGCGACGAUCCGUAGCUGGUCUGAGAGGAUGAUCAGCCACACUGGAACUGAGACACGGUCCAGACUCCUACGGGAGGCAGCAGUGGGGAAUAUUGGACAAUGGGCGCGAGCCUGAUCCAGCCAUACCGCGUGGGUGAAGAAGGCCUUCGGGUUGUAAAGCCCUUUUGUUGGGAAAGAAAAGCAGCAGGUUAAUACCCCGCUGUUCUGACGGUACCCAAAGAAUAAGCACCGGCUAACUUCGUG